UACGUAGGCAGCAAGCGUUGUUCGGAGUUACUGGGCGUAAAGGGUGUGUAGGCGGUCUUCUAAGUUUGGUGUGAAAUCUCCCGGCUCAACUGGGAGGGUGCGCCGAAAACUGGGAGGCUAGAGUGCGGGAUGGGAGAGUGGAAUUCCUGGUGUAGCGGUGAAAUGCGUAGAUAUCAGGAGGAACACCGGUGGUGUAGACGGCUCUCUGGACAGUAACUGGACGGCUGAGACACGAAAAGCGUGGGUAGCAAACAGG
rnacentral:rRNA from 1 species